rnacentral:rRNA from 1 species
UGCCAGCCGCCGCGGUAAUACGGAGGGUGCAAGCGUUAAUCGGAAUUACUGGGCGUAAAGCGCGCGUAGGCGGUUUGUUAAGUGAGAUGUGAAAGCCCAGGGCUCAACCUUGGAACUGCAUCUCAUACUGGCAGGCUAGAGUACGGUAGAGGGAGGUAGAAUUCCAUGUGUAGCGGUGAAAUGCGUAGAGAUGUGGAGGAAUACCAGUGGCGAAGGCGGCCUCCUGGAUCGAUACUGACGCUGAGGUGCGAAAGCGUGGGGAGCAAACAGGAUUAGAUA